GACGAACGCUGGCGGCGUGCUUAACACAUGCAAGUCGAACGGAAAGGCCCUGCUUUUGUGGGGUGCUCGAGUGGCGAACGGGUGAGUAACACGUGAGUAACCUGCCCUUGACUUUGGGAUAACUUCAGGAAACUGGGGCUAAUACCGGAUAGGAGCUCCUGCUGCAUGGUGGGGGUUGGAAAGUUUCGGCGGUUGGGGAUGGACUCGCGGCUUAUCAGCUUGUUGGUGGGGUAGUUGCUUACCAAGGCUUUGACGGGUAGCCGGCCUGAGAGGGUGACCGGCCACAUUGGGAAUGAGAUACGGCCCAGACUCCUACGGGAGGCAGCAGUGGGGAAUAUUGCACAAUGGGCGGAAGCCUGAUGCAGCAACGCCGCGUGCGGGAUGACGGCCUUAGGGUUGUAAACCGCUUUCGCCUGUGACGAAGCGUGAGUGACGGUAAUGGGUAAAGAAGCACCGGCUAACUACGUG
rnacentral:rRNA from 1 species